rnacentral:miRNA from 1 species
ACUUCAACAGGAGCAAGACUGA